UAGUUAUCAAGCGAUAAGGUAGGUGGAAGUAGAAGACCUGAUGAAGAGCCUGAGAGAGUGGUUGGAUAGAUAAUUUACUGGAGGAUCCCUUAUCAGACCUCACUCAGGUGAAGAGAGCUGCCAUUCACUCAAAUAUGCCAAUUUCUCCUAACACCAUCUUUGAGAAGAUCUGUACCUUGGAAGGGCAAGGGCAAUGUCAUCAGCGGAGCCUGACAAUAAGCAAGCAUCCCUCUGAGAUGGAUUUCUGACUGUUUGGGGCCAUGGGAAGCUUGAGCUGGGCAGCCCCAGGCAGACAGCCUUCUGCAGCAUUUUUCUUUCAGCCCUGGCCAGCAAGACACCUGGCUUGAUGCUCUGAGGACAAGACAGGUGCAACAGUAAAAUUGUGGGGACGGUUGUUCCAUAGCUUUUCUCAGUUUAUCCAGAGUAUUUUUGGGUCAUAUGAGACUAUGGCAUCCAUUCAACCAAAUCCUUUGGUAAACCUGUUAAAAACCACACUACUAAAACAAGGUGAACAUUGAGCUCUUCUUCCUUCUUACAGUGUCCAAUAAAAUACCAAAGUCAACAAACUUGUAUCAAAAAAAAU